AUACUUACCUAGCAGGAAAGAUACCAUGAUCACAAAGGUGGUGUUCUCACAGUGAGGUUCUUCCAUUGCAUUCUGAUGUUCGACCCCUGUGAUUGCCCUAAUGGUGGGAAACUCCACUGCAUAAUCUGUGGUAGAGCAGCACUGCAUUCACACUUUCCCCUA